rnacentral:rRNA from 1 species
UACGAAGGGGGCUAGCGUUGCUCGGAAUCACUGGGCGUAAAGGGUGCGUAGGCGGGUCUUUAAGUCAGGGGUGAAAUCCUGGAGCUCAACCUGGGAACUGCAUUUGUGACUGUAGAGCUGGAGUACGGCAGAGGCAGACGGAAUUCCGGGUGUAGCGGUGGAAUGCGUAGAGAUCCGGAGGAAGACCGGUGGCGAAAGCGGCGCACUGGACCAUAACUGACGCUGAGGCGCGAAAGCUAGGGGAGCAAACAGG